UGGCGGCAUGCCUUACACAUGCAAGUCGAACGGCAGCACGGGUGCUUGCACCUGGUGGCGAGUGGCGAACGGGUGAGUAAUACAUCGGAACAUGUCCUGUAGUGGGGGAUAGCCCGGCGAAAGCCGGAUUAAUACCGCAUACGAUCUACGGAUGAAAGCGGGGGACCUUCGGGCCUCGCGCUAUAGGGUUGGCCGAUGGCUGAUUAGCUAGUUGGUGGGGUAAAGGCCUACCAAGGCGACGAUCAGUAGCUGGUCUGAGAGGACGACCAGCCACACUGGGACUGAGACACGGCCCAGACUCCUACGGGAGGCAGCAGUGGGGAAUUUUGGACAAUGGGCGAAAGCCUGAUCCAGCAAUGCCGCGUGUGUGAAGAAGGCCUUCGGGUUGUAAAGCACUUUUGUCCGGAAAGAAAUCCUUGGCUCUAAUACAGUCGGGGGAUGACGGUACCGGAAGAAUAAGCACCGGCUAACUACGUGCCAGCAGCCGCGGUAAUACGUAGGGUGCAAGCGUUAAUCGGAAUUACUGGGCGUAAAGCGUGCGCAGGCGGUUUGCUAAGACCGAUGUGAAAUCCCCGGGCUCAACCUGGGAACUGCAUUGGUGACUGGCAGGCUAGAGUAUGGCAGAGGGGGGUAGAAUUCCACGUGUAGCAGUGAAAUGCGUAGAGAUGUGGAGGAAUACCGAUGGCGAAGGCAGCCCCCUGGGCCAAUACUGACGCUCAUGCACGAAAGCGUGGGGAGCAAACAGGAUUAGAUACCCGUGGGUAGUCCACGCCCUAAACGAUGUCAACUAGUUGUUGGGGAUUCAUUUCCUUAGUAACGUAGCUAACGCGUGAAGUUGACCGCCUGGGGAGUACGGUCGCAAGAUUAAAACUCAAAGGAAUUGACGGGGACCCGCACAGCGGUGGAUGAUGUGGAUUAAUUCGAUGCAACGCGAAAAACCUUACCUACCCUUGACAUGGUCGGAAUCCUGCUGAGAGGCGGGAGUGCUCGAAAGAGAACCGGCGCACAGGUGCUGCAUGGCUGUCGUCAGCUCGUGUCGUGAGAUGUUGGGUUAAGUCCCGCAACGAGCGCAACCCUUGUCCUUAGUUGCUACGCAAGAGCACUCUAAGGAGACUGCCGGUGACAAACCGGAGGAAGGUGGGGAUGACGUCAAGUCCUCAUGGCCCUUAUGGGUAGGGCUUCACACGUCAUACAAUGGUCGGAACAGAGGGUUGCCAACCCGCGAGGGGGAGCUAAUCCCAGAAAACCGAUCGUAGUCCGGAUUGCACUCUGCAACUCGAGUGCAUGAAGCUGGAAUCGCUAGUAAUCGCGGAUCAGCAUGCCGCGGUGAAUACGUUCCCGGGUCUUGUACACACCGCCCGUCACACCAUGGGAGUGGGUUUUACCAGAAGUGGCUAGUCUAACCGCAAGGAGGACGGUCACCACGGUAGGAUUCAUGACUGGGGUGAAGUCGUAACAAGGUAGC
rnacentral:rRNA from 1 species